AGAGUUUGAUCAUGGCUCAGGGUGAACGCUGGCGGCGCGCCUAAUGCAUGCAAGUCGAGCGUGCCCUGGUGGCUUCGGCCAUCAGGGAAAGCGGCAGACGGCUGAGUAACGCGUGAGUAACCUGCCCUCUGGUGGGGUAUAGCCGCGAGAAAUCGCGGUUAAUCCCGCAUAAGAUCUCCAGGCCUUGGUUUGGAGAUGAAAGCCUUCGGGCGCCGGAGGAGGGGCUCGCGUCCUAUCAGGUAGUUGGUGAGGUAACGGCCCACCAAGCCGAUGACGGGUCGCUGACCUGAGAGGGUGGUCAGCCACAGGGGAACUGAGAGACGGUCCCCACUCCUACGGGAGGCAGCAGUGAGGAAUCUUGGGCAAUGGGGGCAACCCUGACCCAGCUAUGCCGCGUGCGGGAGGACGCCCUUCGGGGUGUAAACCGCUUUUGAGGGGGAGGAGCAAGGACAGUACCCCUCGAACAAGUCACGGCUAACUACGUGCCAGCAGCCGCGGUAAUACGUAGGUGGCGAACGUUAUCCGGAAUCACUGGGCGUAAAGGGUCCGUAGGCGGAACGACAAGUCGGACGUGACAGGGCGCGGCUCACCCGCGCGAGGUCGUUCGAAACUGUCGCUCUAGAAUCGGUGCGAGGUCGGUGGAAUUCCCGGUGUAGUGGUGGAAUGCGUAGAGAUCGGGAAGAACCUCAACGGCGCAGGCAGCCGGCUAGUGCCAGAUUGACGCUGAGGGACGAAAGCGUGGGGAGCGAACAGGAUUAGAUACCCCAGUAGUCC
rnacentral:rRNA from 1 species